rnacentral:ncRNA from 1 species
UAUCACGUCUGUGACUGUGAGUGUGACUAAUCACACAUUAGUCACUGUUGCUGAUUGUUGGGAAGGUGUAGGUACACCCUUAGCGGGUGUUAUCCUGCAAAACGGGCAUCUUUAAUUGAAGAUGCCC